GACGAACGCUGGCGGCGUGCUUAACACAUGCAAGUGGAGCGACGAACCGGGGCUUGCCCCGGGGCAGAGCCGCGAACGGGUGAGUAACACGUGGGUAACCUACCCCGAUGACCGGGACAACCCGAGGAAACUCGGGCUAAUACCGGAUGUGGUGACUGUUCAUGAGGGCAGUCACUAAAGAUAGCUUCGGCCUUCGCAUCGGGACGGGCCCGCGGCCCAUUAGCUUGUUGGUGGGGUAACGGCCUACCAAGGCGACGAUGGGUAGCUGGUCUGAGAGGACGAUCAGCCACACUGGGACUGAGACACGGCCCAGACUCCUACGGGAGGCAGCAGUGGGGAAUCUUGCGCAAUGCGCGAAAGCGUGACGCAGCAACGCCGCGUGGGGGAAGAAGGCCUUCGGGUUGUAAACCCCUUUCAGUUGGGACGAAGCUUCGCGGGUUAAUAGCCCGCUGGAGUGACGGUACCUUCAUAAGAAGCCCCGGCUAACUACGUGCCAGCAGCCGCAGUAAAAC
rnacentral:rRNA from 1 species